GAGUAGGUGACACCACCACACUUCGUCAAAGGCGAGUUCCCUUCAUAGCAGCCUCUGUUUGACAUGUGUAUUUACUUUAUAGAAUUUCCUAAUGGUUACUGUGUUUGAGCCUCCAUGGCUGCUUCAUAGAGAAGUCUGAGAAACAAAUUUAUUUUCCUUUCAUUAAGACAGUCUUACUGUCCAGUAACCCUGGCUGUAGGUACUACACUGACCUCUAGAUGCCACCACAUAACAGUUUGUUAUUGCAUCAGCAUAGAGUGGUUUUGGGGGUGUAUAUACACCCAAAACCUCACUCUGUAUUUUUGUCAAAUUUUAAGAGAAUAUGACAAAUUAUUUUAUAGAAAUACAUUUGUGGUAAUAAAUUUUAUAGUAAUAAAUUUGAAAAUAUUGACAAUUUGGCCAGUUCCUAGAAAUAUAUCAAAAGUGACACAAAAAUAAGUAGAUAACUCUAGUAGUCCUAGAAACUUAAAAAAAUGGAACCAUGAAAACCAUCUGCUCAUAGCAAAAGAUGUAAGCCUGGUGGCUCUAAUUGCUAAAUUAUACUAAAUAUUUAGGAAAGAAAUUAUUCUAUGUUCAUACAGAUUCUUCUACUAGGGAACAGAAAAGCAGAUAUACUCCCCAGAUAGUCUUGUAGAAACAUGAUAUAGCCUAGGGCAGUGGCUCAUGCCUGUAAUCCCAACACUUUGGGAGGCCAAGCCCAGGAGGUUGAGGUUAUAGUGAACUAUGAUGGCACCACUGCACUCCAGCUAGGUCAACAGAUUGAGACUCUUGUCUCAAAAAAGAAAAAAAAAGAAAAAUAAGAAAUAUAAUAUGGAUAUCAAAAUAUGACAAGGAAUGUUAACAAGGAUUAAAAUUUUAGACCAAUCUAUUAUGGAUAUCAAGGCAAAAUAUUAGCAACUGAAUUUAGCUAUCUAUCAAGAGGAUAAGACCCUCUAAGGAAGGAUGUAGUCCCAGAAUGCAAGGCUGGUUUAGUUUUAGAAACAAGUGCAUCUAUAUAAAGGAUGAUGGAAUUGGAUGCAAUGAAAAAAUUAUGUGAUCUCAAUAAAUACAGAAUACAAUGUUUGAUUAAAUUUAAUAUUAAAGUUCAGAGGUAAUAUUUGAUAAAAUUCAGCAUCAAUUCAUGCCAUGAAAUUCUUAACAAAUUAUAAAGUAUCGUUCUUUAAUCUGGUCAGUGGUACUGCAGAAAACACCAGGUAACUGCAUAUUUAAAGAGAACCUUGAAAGCUUUGCCUUUGAGAUAGGAAUCAGCACGUAGAAGCCAACCAUCCCAACUUCCAUUCAGCACUGUACAGCAGAGAAAGGAGGAAAAGAAAAGAAAAGGUAUAACACUUGGAGAAAAACAUAAGUGGGAUUCACAGAUUAUAUGAGUAUCAAU
rnacentral:lncRNA from 1 species